GACGGGGGCCCGCACAAGCGGAGGAACAUGUGGUUUAAUUCGAUGAUACGCGAGGAACCUUACCCGGGCUUGAAAUGCAUCUGACCGGCCUUGAAAGAGGCACUCCCUUCGGGGCAGAUGUGUAGGUGCUGCAUGGUUGUCGUCAGCUCGUGCCGUGAGGUGUCGGCUUAAGUGCCAUAACGAGCGCAACCCUCAUCAUUAGUUACCAUCAGGUAAGGCUGGGGACUCUAAUGAGACUGCCAUCGUAAGAUGUGAGGAAGGUGGGGAUGACGUCAAAUCAGCACGGCCCUUACGUCCGGGGCGACACACGUGUUACAAUGGGUGGUACAAAGGGCAGCUACCUGGCGACAGGAUGCUAAUCUCGAAAACCGCUCUCAGUUCGGAUCGGAGUCUGCAACUCGACUCCGUGAAGCUGGAUUCGCUAGUAAUCGCGCAUCAGCCACGGCGCGGUGAAUACGUUCCCGGGCCUU
rnacentral:rRNA from 1 species